AAUUAAACUAUAAAAUAUAAAUGUAUUAGAGAAUGGCAAAACUUUUAUAUAUAACAAAUAAUUCUUAAAUUUUAAAAAUUACUACUUUAAAAAAAAAUCACGGGACGGGUAAAGAAACUAUAGAACGGGUUUUAUUUUGGAAUUGGGUUAUAUGGUGGAUGUAUUUGAAUCAAUAUUUAUAAAAUUUUAAAAUAUUAUUAAUAGGCUGUUUUAACAGGGGUUAAAACUUCAGUUUUUUAACAAUUGUCUCAUGGAUACGUGGUAUAGUGUUACUUAAUAACAAUUAUAAACUGUAAAAUAUAAAUAUUUUAUAAAAAUAAAAUUUGCAAGUUUUAAUAUAUAUUACUUUUAGAGUAAAUCGUCUCGCGGUAUACCGCGGGCUAAAAUCUAGUAUACAUAUAUUAUGCUUCUUGGGUUCAAGCUUACCAAAUCUUACUAACGCAUUUGACAUUAUAGCCACAAUAUAAAUUAUCCUACUAUAUUAUUUGGGAAGUACAUUUUAAAUGUAACCUUAAUUUUUGUAAGUAAUUACAUAGGUAUGCCAUUAGAAAUAAAAUUUUAAAGAGUAAAUUAAUUUAUCUCUUUAAGGAUUAAAAAGUCAAAUACUAAUUUAAAUAAUUAAAAUUA
rnacentral:sRNA from 1 species